UGGGGAAUAUUGGACAAUGGGCGCAAGCCUGAUCCAGCAAUGCCGCGUGAGUGAUGAAGGCCUUAGGGUUGUAAAGCUCUUUCGCCCGCGACGAUGAUGACGGUAGCGGGAGAAGAAGCCCCGGCUAACUCCGUGCCAGCAGCCGCGGUAAUACGGAGGGGGCUAGCGUUGUUCGGAAUUACUGGGCGUAAAGGGCGCGCAGGCGGCUGCUCAAGUCAGGCGUGAAAGGCCUGGGCUCAACCCGGGAAUUGCGCUUGAGACUGGGCUGGCUUGAGUGCGGGAGAGGAUGGUGGAAUUCCCAGUGUAGAGGUGAAAUUCGUAGAUAUUGGGAAGAACACCGGUGGCGAAGGCGGCCAUCUGGACCGCAACUGACGCUGAGGCGCGAAAGCGUGGGGAGCAAACUGGAUUAGAUACCCUGGUAGUCCACGCCGUAAACGAUGAGUGCUAGACGUUGGGAAGCCUAGCUUUCCGGUGUCGCAGCUAACGCAUUAA
rnacentral:rRNA from 1 species